UACGAAGGGGGCUAGCGUUGCUCGGAAUCACUGGGCGUAAAGGGUGCGUAGGCGGGUCUUUAAGUCAGGGGUGAAAUCCUGGAGCUCAACUCCAGAACUGCCUUUGAUACUGAGGAUCUUGAGUUCGGGAGAGGUGAGUGGAACUGCGAGUGUAGAGGUGAAAUUCGUAGAUAUCGUUUGGAACGCCAAUGGUGAAAACAGGUUGCUGGGAGUGUGCUGACGCUGAGACACGAAAGCCAGGGGAGCAAACGGG
rnacentral:rRNA from 1 species